rnacentral:miRNA from 1 species
AAAACAUUCGCAUCCGAUCUUUAUCUGAUAUACAAACUCGAACCGAAGGCGAGAGUUUGUAUAUCAGAUAAAGAUCGGAUGCGAAUGUUUU